AGCCUUGAGCAAUGGCAAUAUCAUAGCCAAUGAGGUUUAUCUGAGGUGUGAUUAUUGCUCAUUGAGAAUGGGGCCAAUUUCAGCAUUUACCACAUUACUUAGAGUUCAUAGCAUAAUAACAGGCCUAUGGUUUCAU
ensembl:snRNA U4 U4 spliceosomal RNA